GGACUACUGGGGUAUCUAAUCCUGUUUGCUCCCCACGCUUUCGUGCAUGAGCGUCAGUACUGGCCCAGGAGGCUGCCUUCGCCAUCGGUGUUCCUCCACAUAUCUACGCAUUUCACUGCUACACGUGGAAUUCCACCUCCCUCUGCCGUACUCGAGCCCCGCAGUCUCAAAUGCAAUUCCCAGGUUAAGCCCGGGGAUUUCACAUCUGACUUACGGAACCGCCUGCGCACGCUUUACGCCCAGUAAUUCCGAUUAACGCUCGCACCCUACGUAUUACCGCGGCUGCUGGCAC
rnacentral:rRNA from 2 species